rnacentral:rRNA from 1 species
GAGUUUGAUCCUGGCUCAGGAUGAACGCUGGCGGCGUGCUUAACACAUGCAAGUCGAACGGGCUCAUAUUGAAACCUAGUGAUGUAUGAGUUAGUGGCGGACGGGUGAGUAACGCGUGGAGAACCUGCCGUAUACUGGGGGAUAACACUUAGAAAUAGGUGCUAAUACCGCAUAAGCGCACAGCUUCGCAUGAAGCAGUGUGAAAAACUCCGGUGGUAUACGAUGGAUCCGCGUCUGAUUAGCUGGUUGGCGGGGUAACAGCCCACCAAGGCGACGAUCAGUAGCCGGCCUGAGAGGGUGAACGGCCACAUUGGGACUGAGACACGGCCCAAACUCCUACGGGAGGCAGCAGUGGGGAAUAUUGCACAAUGGGGGAAACCCUGAUGCAGCGACGCCGCGUGAGUGAAGAAGUAUUUCGGUAUGUAAAGCUCUAUCAGCAGGGAAGAAAUACUGACCUUACGGUCAGCAGACGGUACCUGACUAAGAAGCCCCGGCUAACUACGUGCCAGCAGCCGCGGUAAUACGUAGGGGGCAAGC